UGCCGUGCAGAGUGCGCGCAUAUAGCACAUAGUCAGGACCGCGUACAAUUGGCGCACAAUUUAAUUUCACUUGCACUUCACCCGUGUGCGCUUCAGCUAUGCACUUCAGAUUUAUUUUAUUAUCGCCUGUUACACGGCGCAUGAACAACACUUCUGCAUUUUUUGCGUUUUCGACAAUGGCAAAUUCCGAGAAAAUUUCUUCGUGAAAAUAUUUAACCACUUGUGGUCGAUAGAUGAAUAGGUGACAUAGCGACUGAACAGGCGGCGUGCUGUAUACGAAGAAACUGGAAAAAGAAGAUGUGUCCUCACAUAUUUGUGAACUCGUGUUUGCAUGGAUCUUAUCAGCAUUCGUGUCGAUUGUUGCUUCCUCCCGUUUAGUCCGCCGACCACUAUUGUGCGGUGUGCGCGUGUUCCUUUAUUUUCAUCGCGAUUAUUUGCAUUUCUGAAGAUUUUAAUUCGGUACAAGCAUUAGAAUCGUUUAGUCAUCGAUUGCUCUCAACUACUGACUAAAUGAUUUUCGUGAGUAGAGAGGAGACUCCAGAAUUAAGAGAUCUCACCAUGUGCGCGUGUGUAUUCUGCCGGCUGAUGAAAUUUGUUGUUGAGCGUGACCGCGUGCAGUCGUACGCAGUUCCAUUCCGGAUACUAAAUGAAUCGUGAGCGUUCUUCGCGACUAGUUUGGUUUUAGCAGAUCGAAAUUGAUCUAUAUUCAAUAAACAAUCGACUAUAAUACUAGGAUUUAUUGGAAUUUGGCCAGAUAAUAUGCGCAUUUCCGUUUGCCGUCGGUGAUUAUUUUUUGCAUAUAAAUAGAAGAAUACACAGAAGAAUAUCAUGGAUUUGUAUUUAAUUCGAAUAAAUAGACAACGUAUGUACACAGUGAAAAAGUGUCCGAAUUGAAGGGCCUUGCUGUUUGUAAUAUUCAUUGCAGAAGGUUUACAGUUGCGCAUGUUUUAAGGUAUGUACUCUAUAGGAGUUAAUAGUCGCCAAUGUUUUUCCUUUAAAAAAUGUAUAUGUAUUUGUAAAUGUUGUCAAUAAAACAAAUAAUAAUAUUCUCA